rnacentral:tRNA from 1 species
UCAGUGGUAGUUCAGUGGUAGAAUUCUCCCCUUCCUUGCAGGAGACCUGGGUGCAAUUCCCAGCCAGUGCA